CAUUUGUAGUCUGAGUAGGUCUGUUUGGACAGAAAACAAUCAUUUUUGCACGGAAGGAGAAUGCAACCAUCGGGAGGAACUCCCGUAAAUAAGUACCUUCAUACAAGCAUCCGGACGCUUCUUGCAUGGUGCCUGUGGCGAGGCAUUUCAUGGGUGUGCGUUAUGUAUCUAAUUACAUACUAGCCAAAAGACAUAAGAUAUAGGAGGUGCAGCUCCAAAAAUGAACAGUG
rnacentral:ncRNA from 1 species